rnacentral:rRNA from 1 species
GAAACAGUUGCUCAGACUGGAUAGGAAAUAAAAAGGCAUCUUUUUAUUUUUAAAAAGACCUUUUUCGGAAGGUAUGCUUAAAGAGGGGCUUGCGUCACAUUAGUUAGUUGGCAGGGUAAAGGCCUACCAAGACUAUGAUGUGUAGCUGGACUGAGAGGUUGAACAGCCACAUUGGGACUGAGACACGGCCCAAACUCCUACGGGAGGCAGCAGUAGGGAAUUUUCGGCAAUGGAGGAAACUCUGACCGAGCAACGCCGCGUGAACGAUGAAGUAUUUCGGUAUGUAAAGUUCUUUUAUUGAAGAAGAAAAAAUAGUGGAAAAACUAUCUUGACGAUAUUCAAUGAAUAAGCCCCGGCAAACUAUGUGCCAGCAGCCGCGGUAAUACAUAGGGGGCGAGCGUUAUCCGGAAUUAUUGGGCGUAAAGGGUGCGUAGGCGGUUUAAUAAGUCUAUAGUUUAAUUUCAGUGCUUAACACUGUCCUGCUAUAGAAACUAUUAGACUAGAGUGAGAUAGAGGCAAGUGGAAUUCCAUGUGUAGCGGUAAAAUGCGUAAAUAUAUGGAGGAACACCAGAGGCGUAGGCGGCUUGCUGGGUCUUUACUGACGCUGAGGCACGAAAGCGUGGGGAGCAAACAGGAUUAGAUACCCUGGUAGUCCACGCCGUAAACGAUGAGUACUAAGUGUCGGGAUUACUCGGUACUGAAGUUAACACAUUAAGUACUCCGCCUGAGUAGUACGUACGCAAGUAUGAAACUUAAAGGAAUUGACGGGACUCCGCACAAGCGGUGGAUCAUGUUGUUUAAUUCGAAGAUACACGAAAAACCUUACCAGGUCUUGACAUACUCUGCAAAGCUAUAGCAAUAUAGUGGAGGUUAUCAGGGAUACAGGUGGUGCAUGGUUGUCGUCAGCUCGUGUCGUGAGAUGUUAGGUUAAGUCCUAAAACGAGCGCAACCCUUGUCAUUAGUUGCCAGCAUGUCAUGAUGGGCACUUUAAUGAGACUGCCAAUGAAAAAUUGGAGGAAGGUGAGGAUCACGUCAAAUCAUCAUGCCCCUUAUGAUCUGGGCUACAAACGUGAUACAAUGGCUGUUACAAAGAGUAGCUGAAACGCAAGUUUAUAGCCAAUCUCAUAAAAGCAGUCUCAGUUCGGAUUGAAGUCUGCAACUCGACUUCAUGAAGUUGGAAUCGCUAGUAAUCGCGAAUCAGCAUGUCGCGGUGAAUACGUUCACGGGGUUUGAACCCCCCGCCCGUC